rnacentral:rRNA from 1 species
CGGGACGGGUGAGUAAUGUCUGGGAAACUAGCCUGAUGGAGGGGGGUAACUACUGGAAACGGUAGCUAAUACCGCAUAACGUCGCAAGACCAAAGAGGGGGACCUUCGGGCCUCUUGCCAUCGGAUGUGCCCAGAUGGGAUUGCUAGUAGGUGGGGUAACGGCUCACCUAGGCGACGAUCCCUAGCUGGUCUGAGAGGAUGACCAGCCACACUGGAACUGAGACACGGUCCAG